GCGCUCAUAGCUCAGCUGGAUAGAGUGUUUGGCUACGAACCAAAAGGUCGGGGGUUCGAAUCCCUCUGGGCGUACCA
rnacentral:tRNA from 1 species